rnacentral:lncRNA from 1 species
UGAACCAACAUUUGUUAUCAGAGCCUAGGGCUCGAGAAGAUCGGAGGAAGCCUCCGCCGCCGGCGGGUGUGUCGGUUGGUGGAGGGCAGGAGUGAAAGAAGGUGGUGAAGGAUCGAGGCAGAAGCUGGCUGUUUUUGGAUCAUUUAACAGCAGAAGACGGACGCGUUAAGGUGUUUCGGUCGGCCGUUGUUGUGGUAGACGUACCGGUAAAGACGACGGGGGUGACCGGUGAUAAACACUUGUGUUCCUUGGCUGUUAGUGGUGAUGAAAGAAGGAAGAACGAGGCUGUUCGGUUGUUAGUUGCGGGUUUGCGCAACUAUUAUACAACGGUAACAACAGCAGAAUGUUUUGAAGGUGCCUUGAUCAGCUUGGUUCGUGAUAAGAGGAGACCGACGUAGGUGCGUGAAAAACGGGCAGAAAAAUCCGUCAAAGCUGGUGGGCUUUGGAUUCGCUUCGUUUGGCAAGGUGAGAAAACGUUAGAAGCGGGUGGCUUUGUUUUCUUGGUCGGUGGAGAAGCCUCUUGAACAAGAGUGAUCGGAAAAAGGUAAAGAAAGAAAAAACACGGUGUAACAUUAUGGUGUUGGAGUUCAAACUAGGUGACUCGGAUGUGACGGGGUGGGUCGUUGAUCCGUUAUGAUUAAGAUGUGAAUGGACGGUUCCAGCGUUAUGCCAUGUUACAUGUUACGGGCGUGGUGUUUUUUAUUCGGGUUGAACCGAGACAUUGGAUGUGAUCAAGGUGAAGAUCGGGUGUCCAAUAGAUGUCAUAGUGGUUCAAAACCAAGGUGAUUCGGUGCUGCAGUGACGGGUGUAAACAAACCGAUUAAGGGGUGAAUGUUAGGUUAAUCGGGUUCGUUUACGGGACACGGGUCACGGGUCACGGUCCAACAUACGGUCAUGGGCGACGGAUAUGUAUCCCUCUACUUGGUCUUCGUUGACCAGAAAAGUAGGAGCUGCAUAUUAAUUGUAGUAAAGAAAUUGGUUUAGAGCUGCACAUAAGUUAAUAAAGAAAAUGUAGUGUAUUGACCGAGUGGUGUGUUGACCGAAUUGUCACACCCCAACCGAUGGCGGAAUCAUCGGGGCGCGGCACUAGGCGAAUCAGAUUGCUCAAGAGAAUCCAUAACGACUAUAUUGCGAUAAUAUUCAUUACAUUUGUUAUCCCAAACUAACAAACAAUACAAUCACAUAAGUUAUC